AUACGUAGGUGGCGAGCGUUAUCCGGAAUUACUGGGCGUUGAGGGUGUGUAGGCGGGAAGGCAAGCCGGAUGUGAAAAUUAUGGGGUCAACCCAUAAAGUGCGACCGAAACUGUUUUUCUUGAGGAUCGGAGAGGUAAAGAGCAUUCCCGGUGUAGAGGUGAAAUGCGCAGAUAUUACACAGAACGCCGAUUGUGAAGACACCUCACGAAGCGGUAACUGACGCUGAGGCACGAAAGCGUGGGGAUCGAACAGGAUUAGAUACCCUGGUAGUCCACGCAGUAAACGAUGAUGACUAACCGUCGGCGAUAGACCGCCGGUGGCCAAGCGAAAGCGAUAAGUCAUCCACCUGGGGAGUACGACCGCAAGGUUGAAACUUAAAGGAAUUGGCGGGG
rnacentral:rRNA from 1 species